AGUGGAUGGGGAGCAACCUAGUUGUGCGUGUGUAAGGGUAGUGCCAAGAAAAGCGAUGAUCAUGUUGAAAAUCAAUUCCCGGUACCCGAAACCGACACAGGUGGGCAAGUAGAGAAUACUAAGGGGCGCGAGGUAACUCUCUCCAAGGAACUCGGCAAAAUGACCCCGUAACUUAGGGAGAAGGGGUGCCACCGAGAGGUGGUCGCAGUGAAGAGGCCCAGGCGACUGUUUAGCAAAAACAUAGGUCUCUGCAAACUCGAAAGAGGAGGUAUAGGGGCUGACGCCUGCCCAGUGCCGGAAGGUUAAAGAAGUUGGUCAGUUUUAGGAUGAAGCUAGCGACUGAAGCCCCGGUGAACGGCGGCCGUAACUAUAACGGUCCUAAGGUAGCGAAAUUCCUUGUCGGGUAAGUUCCGACCCGCACGAAAGGCGUAACGAUCUGGGCGCUGUCUCGGAGAGAGGCUCGGCGAAAUAGGAUUGUCUGUGAAGAUACGGACUACCUGCAUUUGGACAGAAAGACCCUAUGAAGCUUUACUAUAGCUUGGAAUUGUGUUCGGGCUUCCUGUGCGCAGGAUAGGUGGGAGGCGUAGAAGGUAUUCUUGUGGGGAUACUGGAGCCAACGGUGAGAUACCACUCUCAGGAGGCUAGAAUUCUAACUUAAUUAAGGACAGUCUCAGGUGGGUAGUUUGACUGGGGCGGUCGCCUCCAAAAAGGUAACGGAGGCGUACAAAGGUUCCCUCAGACUGGUUGGAGAUCAGUCGAAGAGUGCAAAGGCAGAAGGGAGCUUGACUGCGAGAAGUACAGUUCGAGCAGGGUGGAAACACGGUCUUAGUGAUCCGACGGUGCUGUGUGGAAGGGCCGUCGCUCAACGGACAAAAGUUACUCUAGGAUAACAGGCUGAUCUCCCCCAAGAGUUCACAUCGACGGGGAGGUUUGGCACCUCGAUGUCGGCUCAUCGCAACCUGGGGCGGAAGUACGUCCCAAGGGUUGGGCUGUUCGCCCAUUAAAGCGGUACGUGAGCUGGGUUCAGAACGUCGUGAGACAGUUCGGUCCAUAUCCGAUGUAGGCGUGAGAAUAUUGAGAGGAGCCUUCCUUAGUACGAGAGGACCGGGAAGGACGCACCGCUGGUGUACCUGUUAUGAUGCCAAUUGUAAACGCAGGGUAGCCAAGUGCGGAGAGGAUAACCGCUGAAAGCAUCUAAGUGGGAAGCCCACCUCAAGAUGAGUAUUCUGGUGUAAGGUCACGGGAAGACGACCCGUAAAUAGGCACGAGGUGGAAGUGCAGAGAUGUAUGAAGCCGAAGUGUAAUAAUAGACCGUCGGCUUG
rnacentral:rRNA from 1 species